rnacentral:misc_RNA from 1 species
UGUUAUCUGACGUUGUGGUAUAAAGUGAUUCAACAUUGUUUCCCAUCUGGUAACUCUUUUUAGAUUUUUGAUGAUGAAAAUAUUUGAAUUUUUAUGAUAUUUGGAAUCUCAUCAUUCUCCUCAUCUGGGUAGUUUUCCUCCAUCAAGGGGAUGAGAUUUGUGGGAAGCGAUUUUUGAAAGGUUCAGGGUUUAAGGGAGUGAAAUGAUUUUAUAACGGUAUCUGCAGUUCAUUUUGCCAUAUGGAAUUCCGUUGCCAUCUUAUAAUUAUUUGUUUGAAACUUGCUUGAGGGGCUGAGAUUCUGUGUUACUAUCUGACAGUUUUAGUGAAUGUAGUAGGAUUAGAUUUUGUGGGAAUGAUGAUUAGAUCGUUAUUUUCCUCUUGGACCUCAGUGUUUACUGUGCAUUUUGAGAGAUUGAAAAAGUG